rnacentral:lncRNA from 1 species
AAGAACACAAAGUCAGGAUCACGAUCGUGUGCGCUAAGAAGUAUCGUAUUUUUACGCCUUGGAGUCACUUCGAGUGAUAGUAGAUAGGUACUUGAUCGUAGUCCCUUUAUACAAUGAGGACCGCACUCACAGCUUCCUCUGAAGCUUCUAUGUACAAGUACAGGUCCUCCCCAUCCUUGGGUGAUGUCAGCAUUGGAAGCGAAGACAUGUGUGUCUUUAACUUAGUAAAUGCUUCCUCGCAUUCCAAG